CCUACGGGUGGCAGCAGUGGGGAAUAUUGCACAAUGGGGGAAACCCUGAUGCAGCGACGCCGCGUGAGUGAAGAAGUAUUUCGGUAUGUAAAGCUCUAUCAGCAGGGAAGAAAAUAACAGUACCUCACCACUAAGCCCCGGCUAACUACGUGCCAGCAGCCGCGGUCAUACGUAGGGGGCAAGCGUUAUCCGGAUUUACUGGUUGUAAAGGGAGCGUAGACGGUGAUGUAAGUCUGGAGUGAAAGCCCGGGGCGCAACCCCCGGACUGCUUUGGAGACUGUGUAACUGGAGUACAGGAGGGGCAGGCGGAAUUCCUGGUGUAGCGGGGAAAGGCGUAGAUAUUAGGAGGAACACCAGCGGCGAAGGCGGCCUGCUGGACUGAAACUGACGUUGAGGCUCGAAAGCGUGGGGAGCAAACAGGAGUAGAUACCCGAGUAGUC
rnacentral:rRNA from 1 species